rnacentral:rRNA from 1 species
UACGGGGGGGGCAAGCGUUGUUCGGAAUUACUGGGCGUAAAGGGCUCGUAGGUUGCCAACUAAGUCAGACGUGAAAUCCCUCGGCUUAACCGGGGAACUGCGUCUGAUACUGGAUGGCUUGAGUUCGGGAGAGGGAUGCGGAAUUCCAGGUGUAGCGGUGAAAUGCGUAGAUAUCUGGAGGAACACCGGUGGCGAAGGCGGCAUCCUGGACCGGCAUUGACGCUGAGGCGCGAAAGCCAGGGGAGCAAACGGG